GUUUAGCUAGCAGAGAGAGGAAGAGACAAGAUGAUUUAUUGAGCUUUCUCCAAUUCUGUCCAUCACUGCCACCGGAGGAUCCCAAGAAGGAAGAGACGGUCGAAGUCUAAAACAUCAGAAAUGGGAAACAUAAGCUUCUCUCUUUUCCAGUUUGGUGGUCCUGCUGCUCUUUUAGCAAGAUCUAAAUUGGAUUAUGACUCUUUGGAAGAAGAAAUUGCAGGGGGUAUUUCUCCAGAUUUAUCAGUGAAUUGCGGGGUAUUUCGCCAAAUUUAUCCGUGAACCGACAUGGUGGUCAUGAUGCCUGCAGUAUGAAAGACACUAUUUAAAGAAUACAAUUUGCUUGCUGCAAUUAAUGGAAUAAAUUUUUCUUUCUUCUGAUUUUGUUAGGUAAGAUGUUAAAAUUCCUAUCUGGUUAUUGCUACCGAAUAGAAGGAAAAAGAGCAAGAUGGGUUCUAAAAAGAGACCACAAAUAUUGAAUUGUUAUGAAAUGAGCGGAAGGCAGUUUAUGUAGGUGGGUGGAGGUCUAAUUGAUUGCAUAAUUUAAGAAUGUCUAUUAAUAUGUGUUUUCUGCAUCAAAAUUGGCUCCAGUUAAUUCUAUAUGUUUUUUAAUUAUGAUGCAAAUUAUUCUGAAAAUUGUGUAGUUUUGGAGUGCAAACUUUUAUACUGGCUAUAUAUUACAGGGGAAAUCUCGCCAUAGUUGCCAAAGAGUUGUCGGUUUGUCCCAACGUGUAGUGAGUAUUCGAUGAUUGCUUACAAGAAGUAUGGAGUUGCGAAGGGAACCAUAUUGACUGCUUGGCGUCUUUGUUGUUGCAAUCCUCUUGGUGUGUCUUUUUUUUCUCUCUUAAAUCUUUCACAACCAUAUCACCUUCAACUUUCAUAAAUUUCUGAAAUACAGUGUUUGUAGCCUGUUGAUUCUAUUCCCUUUAUGAUAAGCUAACAAAUUAGGAAAUGUCCUCGUUAAUACUUUCUGAAAAUUAUGAAGCCCUUAUCUUUCAUUUUAUCAUCUUCUUUCGUUUAUUAAGUGAUAGUGACUUGAAAUGUGUCAUGAAUACCGUGUUCUUUCAAUUAAAAGAAAAAGCAAUGACAGGUGGAUCUGGUUUUGAUCCCCCAAGAUGGUUUAAUGAGCCAAGUCCUCCGGAGCAGUGAAUUCAUUUCGAGUGGGGAUGGCACAGCACAAGUUACUUCAUUUUAGUAAUCUUGAGUGAGUUUAGGUGUAAUACCCUUAUAUUUUGAUCUCUUGUGAAACUCUGAAAAUGGAGAGCAGAAAUCAUAAAAUAUAUAUUGCAUAACUAUUUUCCAUUGUUUGACUACUACCAGAAAGCAAGGGAGAAAUGAAAUACCUGUUGAAAAGCUAAGGUGUACCAUACAAUCUACUUUGCAGUUCAUUUUCCCUCUUUUUAUACUAGAUCG
rnacentral:lncRNA from 1 species